ensembl:lncRNA
UUUUGAUUUUUUUUUUUUUUUGAAAGGUUCCAGACAGCAUCGACAUUUUAGCGAGCUAAAAAUAUCACAACUUCUAAGGAGAGCUCACUGGGCUCCGAGCAGGUUUUCAGCUGUCGCCUAGCAACAGAAGCAGCCACCGACGGCGCGUUCCCCCGACCGCCCCGAGCACCUCUGGUUCUGCAGCCCGUGGUGUGCACAAACAGAAAGAGCGUGCUAUAUCAGUGGUACUUUGAGCAAGGCAUCGGGAUCGGUUUCUGUUAAGGGGAAAAUAUUCUCAUUAUAACAAGCUCAUUUGAUGUUAUAGAGUAAGAUACUUUUCUUUAUUAACAAAAAAUGUCAGAUCAAGAAACUUUUUAAUAUCAGUUUUUUUUUACUAAUUUCUCAUUUGUUUGUGUUUAAAUGACUGGAAAAAAAUUAAUAGAAUAUUAUUAUUUUUUUUUUAAAAGAGUAUUUUGGGUUAAUUAAAAAAUCAGCUGUGGUUUGCGUAUUUAAAGUUCUUCAAUUAAAAAGAGUAGAGCGGAUUAACAUCUUCUCAGUGUCCAGUUCAACCUGUUUAGAACUAAAUCUAAUCCUGAGUUUAUUUUAAAACCGUGCUGUUGCUUGUAGUCACAAAUGUGCCUUUACAAGAUCUUUCUUCUGUAGAGUCAGAGGCUUCCAUGUGCUCAAAGCACCCUCAAAAUACCUCAGUGAAGCAUCAAACGAAGCAGCCUGUGAUCUCUCCUCUUUGGUCUCAACAUUCAGGGUGCGUUCAUUUCAUCAUGUGUGCGUCGACCUUGAGGAUGGAAAAGCACAUAUACGAUAAAGCGCCUAUUAAGGUGUAAGCCGUUCGCUUUGAAUGUUUGAAACAUUGAUGUCUUGGAGGCUUGGAGACACUGAGCUGAGCUAACCUCUUCCACGGCCGCCAUAACACACACGCACACGCACACGCACACACACACACACACACACACUUCCUCUCAACAUCCACAAGUAAUACGUUCAGACAUAAGCCUUGAAAAAAAUAAGAAAAAGAAAACCCCAAAACAAACAAUACCGUGUUGAACUCGAGUUCAGGCGAAGUAUUACAGCUCACAUAGAAGAAGCAAAUUACAAAAACUGCCAAUAUCAUAUCCACUAUAUAGCCACAAUAAAAAAACAGCCACUGAUAAUAUGGGAAAAAACAUGCUUCCUUAAAAAGAUAAAGAGAAAAACAAAAAAAAAAGGAUUUCAUUCAACUCUAGGAACCACCGGCAUCAAGAAGUUAGAAUUAUAUAACAUUACAUAUACAAUUGCAAAUGUGUAAUAAUAAUAAUAAUAAUAAUAUUAAUAGAGUAAUGAUAAUAGAUUUGACUUAAAACUUUACAUGUUGUAUUUCCAGUGCAGUGUUUAUGUCACACAAGUGUGGAUUGACGGUGGGGGGACGGGAGGGUCGGUGUCACAUGACCUGCGGGGGGAAGAGAUGAAGAGACCACGAGAAGAAGGAACCACACCGGGACGCCGGGCGCAACCACGACCCCUAAAGACCCCCUCGCCGGUCAACGCGGUGGGCCGCAGGGAAGAAGAGGAAGGACGACGAAGCCGCUGAGGGCGUGACAGACGGUGGCGGUAGAAGAAGUGAUGCAUGCUGGGGGUUGAGCCGAGUGUCCCGUGUGGGAGGGUCUGUUGAUGGAGGGGGGGGUCUGUGCCCGAACCAUCCCUUCCUCCUCCUCUCCCCUCCUCCUCCUCCUGCCCUCACCCCCCUGGCAGAAGAAGCU